CUACGGCCAUACCACCCUGAACGCGCCCGAUCUCGUCUGAUCUCGGAAGCUAAGCAGGGUCGGGCCUGGUUAGUACUUGGAUGGGAGAAAUGUCAGAUAGUAACAUAAA
rnacentral:rRNA from 1 species